rnacentral:rRNA from 1 species
UACGUAGGGGGCAAGCGUUGUCCGGAAUCAUUGGGCGUAAAGAGCGCGUAGGCGGCCCGGUAAGUCCGCUGUGAAAGUCCAGGGCUCAACCCUGGAAUGCCGGUGGAUACUGUCGGGCUAGAGUGCAGAAGGGGCAACUGGAAUUCUUGGUGUAGCGGUGAAAUGCGUAGAUAUCAAGAGGAACACCUGCGGCGAAGGCGGGUUGCUGGGCUGACACUGACGCUGAGGCGCGAAAGCUAGGGGAGCGAACGGG